CUUUCUCUGUCUCUCUGCGCUCGCUAAGCAUUCUGCACCCUAACCUCGUCUCUCGGCCUCCUAUCUGAGGCGAGUGCUCUCUCUCCUCUGCUAUGGCCUCAACCACCCAAGCAUGCCUUCUCCUUCAAAAGCAGCUCAGAGAUCUUUGCAAAAGACCGGUGGACGGCUUCUCGGCAGGGCUGGUUGAUGAGAGCAAUGUGUUUGAAUGGAGCGUCUCCAUUAUUGGACCUCCUGAUACCCUUUACGAUGGGGGCUUUUUCAAUGCUAUUAUGAGUUUUCCACCCAAUUAUCCCAACAGUCCUCCAUCAGUGAGGUUUACCUCGGAUAUGUGGCAUCCUAAUGUUUAUCCUGAUGGACGAGUUUGCAUAUCAAUUUUACAUCCGCCUGGUGAGGACCCGAAUGGCUAUGAGCUUGCAAGUGAGCGUUGGACACCUGUCCACACGGUUGAAAGCAUAGUUUUGAGUAUCAUAUCAAUGCUUUCAAGUCCAAAUGAUGAAUCUCCUGCAAAUAUUGAAGCUGCUAAAGAAUGGAGAGAGAAGAGAGACGAAUUCAAGAAGAAAGUCAGCCGUUGUGUGAGGAAGUCACAAGAGAUGUUAUGAUUCAUCACUACUGUCUCUGCUAGUGCCGGUAACCUCCUUGUUCGUGGGAAUUUUCAUAGUUGUAGCAAGGGAGGUCUGCCUAGUCAUCAGGUGAUGCACAAUGUUCAGAGUUUGAGGUUUCAUUAGCAUUUGGGCAAACUGGCUGACUUCUUGGGUUCACAAUCUGGUUUCUGAAACUUGUGGUUUCUCUUUUUUGUUGCUUGGGUCAAGUUUGGGAUUUCACCCGCUUUUCUAUUUAAGAAAUGCUAUGCCGAGCUGAUUUACAUAUUUACACUGCAUGUUUGGUAUCAAUGAAUACGCCUUUGUUUUUUCUUUCUA